AAAAAAAAGAAUAGAAUACACAAAUAGAGAAAAAUAAUCGAAAAUAUAAAAAGGUGGGCCUUUUUAUUCCUUCAUUCUUCUUCUUUUUUUUUUUUUGCUUGCGUUUUUUUUUAAAUAAACAUAAAAUAAGGAAAAAGGGGUCAAAAACUCACCUGACUCCUCAUAUUCCGCCGCAGUGAGUGGCCUAGGUCUAUCAUCUCUGAUGAAAGAUGACACCUUUAAACUAAGGAAGCCGAAAAAACCCCAAAAAAAAAAGCUUUUUAUUUUCCGGCCAUCGUGGGCCGCGGCGCCAUCGCCUGUAAUCAGCGGCCGUCACGGUGGCCCAGCGACCAGAGCCUUCGCCGGAGUUUACGCCAGACUGAGAAGGCUUGAGAGAAAAUGAGAGGGCAUCUUUUUUUUUUAAGAAUAAAAGGAAAAUGAUUUUUUUUGUAAAGUUUUAAUUUAUAUAGUCUAUGCAAAACCGCGUCGUUUUGGGAGUUAAUUUCAAACGCCAAAACGGCGUCAUUUUGAUAUAACCCGAUCCGAUCUGACUCGAAAGUGGCUAGAUCCCAUGUUUCCGUGACUAAUGGGAUAUUUUUACUCCCGGUCCUUCGGAUUUUAUGGCCUAAUGCAAUUUAGUCCCAUUUCUUUUUUUUUUUUAAUUUUAAAUUUACCUAUAAUUUUAGUUUUAUUUCAUUGAGAAUGGCGUCAUUUUGGGGAUAGGGAGUAAUUCCCAAUUUAGUCCUCUCUCCUUUGGUCGAAUUUUAUUUUAGUCCUAAUUUCUUUCUUUUUUUCUUUUAAAUUUGGCCAUUCAAUUUUAGUUCAUUUUUAAUUUAGUCUUUCGACUUGCCAGAUGAAAUGCUGCGCUUAAGGACAGGGAAUAUUUCCCGGUUUGGUCCCUAUUUUUCAUUCGUGUGUUGCAAUUUAGUCCCAUAUGUUGUUUUUAUCCCGGUUUCUCCCCUAAAAUUUUAUUUAAGUUUCAUUUUAGUCCUUGUUAUAUAAUUUCUGCUCUUCCUA
rnacentral:lncRNA from 1 species